rnacentral:rRNA from 1 species
UACGGAGGGGGCUAGCGUUGUUCGGAAUUACUGGGCGUAAAGCGCGCGCAGGCGGCUAUCCAAGUCAGUGGUGAAAGCCCGGAGCUCAACUCCGGAACUGCCAUUGAAACUGUUUAGCUUGAGGACGGGAGAGGUGAGUGGAAUUCCCAGUGUAGAGGUGAAAUGCGUAGAUAUUGGGAGGAACACCGGUGGCGAAGGCGGCUCACUGGCUCGUAUCUGACGCUCAGGCGCGAUAGCGUGGGGAUCAAACAGG